GACGAACGCUGGCGGCGUGCUUAACACAUGCAAGUCGAACGGUGAACCUCUUCGGAGGGGAUCAGUGGCGAACGGGUGAGUAACACGUGGGCAACCUGCCCCCGGCUCUGGGAUAACUCCAAGAAAUUGGGGCUAAUACCGGAUGUUCACCGCUUCCCGCAUGGGUGGUGGUGGAAAGGGUUUCCGGCUGGGGAUGGGCCCGCGGCCUAUCAGCUUGUUGGUGGGGUAGUGGCCUACCAAGGCGACGACGGGUAGCCGGCCUGAGAGGGUGACCGGCCACACUGGGACUGAGACACGGCCCAGACUCCUACGGGAGGCAGCAGUGGGGAAUAUUGCGCAAUGGGCGGAAGCCUGACGAAGCGACGCCGCGUGGGGGAUGACGGCCUUCGGGUUGUAAACCUCUUUCAGCAGGGACGAAGCGCAAGUGACGGUACCUGCAGAAGAAGCACCGGCCAACUACGUG
rnacentral:rRNA from 1 species